ensembl:lncRNA
UGAAGGGGCCAUGAAAAACGGUUUGUUCCCUGGUGAUGAUGAGCAGUCUGGGAGCUACUGUCAGGGUCUGACUCAGGCAGAAUAGCAGCCCCUAAAGAUGUCCACCUCCCAACCCCCAGAACUAUGUUUUGGGAUAAAGAAUGAAGAAAACACUCUGGAACAGGAGGGUGAUGUGAAGACUGAAGGAAGAAUAGCAUACAAAGGUUUGGGCCGGCUCCCAACAUACUGUCUUCCCCUGUCCAAGCAGCUUCCCCCUUGCCCUCAGACCCCUAGAGCUGGGCCAGGCUCCCUGGGAGACUCUGAGGACUUGGGCAGUGGAGAAUUCCUCCCUCUCGGAGGGGCAGGUGGAGUUGGGGUGUGGGGGCACAGGCCUCACUGCCCAGUGAGCUCUGCACCGUCUUCUCACACGCCAGGGUCCUGCCUCAUUCAAAGGGAGAACACCUGUGCCAAAUCCCAGCUGCCUCUCAAAGCUACAUUAUAGCAGCUGUUACCUUGCUACGACUUUUGGCCCUAACCAAGACCAUCAUGCAUAUACUCCACCAGCAAAGGCCAAACUGUCGGGCUUCCCUGGUGGCUCAGUGAAAAAGAAUCCGCGUGCCGAUGCAGAGGACACAGGUUCAGUCCUUGAUCCAGGAAGAGCCCACACGCUGCAGAGCAACUAAGCCCACGUGCCACAACCAUUGAGCCUACGCCUAAAGCCCAGGAACUACUACUGCCGAAGCCUGUGCACCCUAGAGCCCAAGCUCCGUGUCAAGAGAAGCCACCACGAUGAGAAACCCGAGCACCAGCACUGGAGAGGAGUCCCCGCGUAGCAAUGAAGACCCAGCACCGCCAAAAAAAAAUUUUAAACGAAAUAAAAUUUUUUUUAAAAAGCCAAACCGUCUCUGCACACUAGGAUCCAAACCUCCUGAAUCCCUCAGCAACAUGACCACAUCCGAAGAAGCCCUAGCCUUCAGUCUGCACAGCCGUGGUGUGAGGGGGUCCCACGGUCUGUAUGCCGCGGCCCCAGUGCAGAAGAACAGACAAGGAGGACAAAGAGGGUCAGCUCACCACUUAGCAACCGAGAAGCUCAGGCAAGCUUCUAAACCCUUCUGUGCUCCAAGAUCAGGGUAACGAGAGACCGCCCUGGUGGCUAAGACUCUGUGCCCCUAAUGCAGGGGGCCUGGGUUCAAUCCCUGGUCAGGGAACUAGAUCCUGUGCACUACAACAAAAGAUCCCACAUGCUGCACCUAAGACUUGGUGCAGCCAAAUAAAUACUUAAAAAAAAAAUCAGUGUAACUACCUAUUUCAUGGGGUUGCUGGAAGGAUUAAAUGAGUCAGUGCCUAUAAAGGCUUCGAGCUGUGCCCAGCAUCAAGAUUUCCAGAGUCAGCAAUCACUACCAUGCCUGCUUUGUGCUUCAAGGCUCAGCUCACCUUUCCUGACCCCAGCCCCGCCACCCC